CUCACAACCCCGGACGGCACGCGGGUAGGUAGGCUAGAACCUAGAGGAGGGGAGCAGAGCGUGCUGGGGUCUUUUAUCGCUCUCCGCGCAGUGCGUGGGUCUGCGGAUCCGUGGAGGUGCGGAGCCUGACUCGGCCUCCCCGGCUCGCGCGUGAGUGCGGCGGAAGCCCUUCUGCUCCUCCACGAGUUAGAGGAGUGUAGGGGACGUGCAUCCCAGUGUCGGGACGCGAGCUCGUGCUCCUCUUUUCCUCCUAACGGUGGCCCCCACGCACACACUCCAGUCCCCCCGAGAGUUGAUCUUCUCCCCUCAGCGCGCCCCUCCUUACCCGGCCCCUCCCACCGGCCCCCCGUUUCCGCCCGCUUGCUAGCUGCCUAGCUCGCGGUCCGUAGUCGGCUUCGUCCCUGGGGUCCCUGCUUGGGGGCGGAGAAGAUGGCUGGAGGACGUCUGCUGUUGGGGGGCGACUUCCUGUCGCCGCCGCCGCUGCCCCCCCUCCCGCCGCCGCCGCUGCCGCCCCUCCCGCCGCCCCCGCCCGAGCCAGUGCUGGAGCAGUGGCGCUAUAGCCACGAAAGUGACUGGCAGUGGGCUCUGCGGCGCAGCUUCAUCUGUCGGCACCUGCACAGCUAUCCCGGGGCUGCCCUCGACCAGCUCCUCGCGCUCUCCGCCGCCUGGACCAACCACGUCUUCCUGGGCUGCAGCUUCCAUAUAGAAGAAAGGGAAGGGCCAAUGAAGACUCUUGGAAGCUAGGGACCAAGUGCAGUCUUUAGAUGGGCUUUAUGUUACCUCUCAUCUUCAGGUACAGCCCACGCUUGAUGGAAAAAAUUCUCCAAAUGGCUGAAGGUAUUGAUAUUGGGGAGAUGCCUUCAUAUGAUCUGGUGCUGUCCAAACCUUCCAAAGGUCAAAAACGCCACCUCUCAACAUGUGAUGGUCAAAAUCCUCCUAAAAAGCAAGCCGGUUCCAAAUUCCAUGCGAGACCUCGUUUUGAGCCUGUACAUUUUGUAGCUAGUAGUUCAAAAGAUGAAAGACAGGAAGAUCCUUAUGGCCCUCAAACAAAAGAGGUAAAUGAACAAACACAUUUUGCCAGCAUGCCAAGAGACAUCUACCAAGAUUAUACUCAAGACUCUUUCAGUAUACAAGAUGGGAAUUCUCAGUAUUGUGAUUCAUCAGGAUUCAUUCUCACAAAAGACCAGCCUGUAACAGCCAACAUGUAUUUUGACAGUGGGAACCCUGCCCCAAGCACCACAUCACAGCAGGCAAACUCUCAGUCAACUCCUGAGCCUUCACCAUCACAGACAUUUCCCGAGUCUGUGGUAGCCGAGAAGCAGUAUUUUAUUGAAAAAUUAACGGCGACAAUCUGGAAGAACCUUUCUAAUCCAGAAAUGACUUCUGGAUCUGAUAAAAUUAAUUAUACAUAUAUGUUAACUCGUUGUAUUCAGGCGUGUAAGACAAAUCCUGAGUAUAUAUAUGCUCCUUUAAAGGAAAUUCCUCCUGCCGACAUCCCCAAAAAUAAAAAACUUCUAACUGAUGGCUAUGCUUGUGAAGUUAGAUGCCAAAAUAUCUACUUAACUACAGGUUAUGCUGGCAGCAAGAAUGGGUCCAGGGAUCGAGCUACAGAGCUAGCUGUAAAACUCUUGCAGAAACGUAUUGAAGUUAGAGUUGUCCGGCGGAAAUUCAAGCAUACAUUUGGAGAGGACCUCGUGGUGUGUCAGAUUGGCAUGUCCUCCUAUGAAUUUCCUCCAGCUCUGAAGCCACCAGAAGACCUGGUGGUGCUGGGUAAAGAUGCUUCCGGGCAGCCAAUUUUUAAUGCUUCUGCCAAACACUGGACCAAUUUUGUCAUUACAGAAAAUGCAAAUGAUGCAAUUGGUAUCCUUAACAAUUCUGCCUCAUUCAACAAGAUGUCAAUUGAAUACAAAUAUGAGAUGAUGCCAAAUCGCACAUGGCGUUGUCGAGUGUUUUUACAAGAUCACUGCUUAGCUGAAGGUUAUGGAACCAAGAAAACAAGUAAACAUGCAGCUGCCGACGAGGCUUUGAAAAUUCUUCAAAAAACACAGCCCACUUAUCCAUCUGUCAAAAGUUCACAAUGCCAUACAGGCUCUUCACCCAGAGGAUCUGGAAAGAAGAAAGAUAUAAAGGAUCUUGUAGUUUAUGAGAAUUCUUCAAAUCCCGUGUGCACGCUGAACGACACAGCUCAGUUUAACCGAAUGACAGUUGAGUAUGUCUAUGAAAGGAUGACAGGCCUCCGCUGGAAAUGCAAAGUGAUUCUAGAGAGUGAAGUAAUUGCAGAAGCAGUUGGGGUGAAGAAAACUGUCAAAUAUGAAGCUGCUGGGGAAGCUGUGAAAACCCUCAAAAAGACCCAGCCAACUGUCAUUAACAACUUGAAGAAAGGAGCUGUUGAAGAUGUGAUUUCAAGAAAUGAAAUUCAGGGCCGCUCAGCAGAGGAGGCUUACAAACAGCAAAUCAAAGAAGAUAAUAUUGGAAAUCAGCUGCUGAGAAAGAUGGGUUGGACUGGUGGUGGUUUAGGUAAAUCUGGUGAGGGCAUACGGGAGCCUAUCUCAGUGAAAGAGCAGCAUAAGCGGGAAGGGCUUGGUCUGGAUGUAGAGAGGGUGAAUAAAAUUGCCAAGAGAGAUAUUGAACAGAUCAUCAGAAACUACGCCCGCUCCGAGAGCCACACAGAUUUGACUUUCUCUAGAGAGCUGACUAAUGAUGAACGGAAGCAAAUACAUCAGAUUGCCCAGAAGUAUGGUCUUAAGAGUAAGUCUCAUGGGGUGGGCCAUGAUAGGUACCUAGUGGUAGGUAGAAAAAGACGGAAGGAAGACCUACUAGAUCAGCUCAAACAGGAAGGCCAAGUGGGCCAUUACGAGCUUGUUAUGCCUCAAGCAAAUUGAGAUCUUACUAAUUUAUUUUGUAAAUGCCUAAUGAGGCAGAUUUUUGAAUUAAAGAAAUGCUACAUGUUCCGGUUGCAGAGUAUAUUCAUAAGAUGUCUCACCUUGUUCAUUUCACAUAGUGGUUUAUUAGAUAUUGGAACCUAAAGAAUUCUGUCCACUUGUAUUAGCUUAAUCCAGCAGAUGAUAUUGUGCAGUUACUGUUUGUGUCUUUGAUAUUGCUGUGUCCCUCAGAUUUUAGUAGUUUGACAAGCAAGAACACAUAUCCAAAUGGAAUUUUACCCUGAGAAAUUAUCAUUUUAAAGGGCAUAGCACAGCAAUCUGCAACAAUAUGUAAAGUUGAUAUUGACUACAAUAAAAAUCCAGUCUUAAUUCCAGAUUUACUGAAAAUGUCAGAUCAUUUUGUAUUAAUCUAUUUUCAUCUUUGUGUGAAGCCAGUUAUAGAAUGUUUGACAAUAAAUUGUGCUGUACACGUAAAUGUCCUUACCAACUAAAUGAUGUAAAACUUUCUUAAAGUAAUUUUAGUGUUCAUUUAUUUAUAACUUCUACCAUGUGAUUUCCAGACUAUUGGAAGUGAUUUACUGUAUCUUGUGAUAUAUGGGUUUUAACAAAUUCUAGUCUUCACGCUGAGAGAGCACUACUUGAGAGAGCAGUUGAAAGUUUCAAAAACUUUGGUUCAAUCUGAAGAAAGGAAGCUUGAACUGUUUGUUCUUGGUGCCUUGCAGAGAGACUCACAGCAACUCUCCAUUAUAGCUUUCACACGGUUUGGAUGUGCAGCACAUCCAAGGCAACCACAGCUGUGGUAGAGCUUGGUAAAAGACUGAAGAUACAUUGGUGCUUUGAUGAAAAGGUCAGUUGGCUGGUCCCUCUCUCAAAAAGCUUAUUAAGCCUGAAAAGCCAACUUUGUAACAUAUUUAAAACUGCUAUUUUCGCUUAUUUCUGGAAUGUAAAAAAAAAAAAUGUAUAAAAAGAAUUAGUGUAUGCUUCCUGAAUAAAAAGGAGCCAAAGUUGAUCAGAA